ensembl:snRNA U6 U6 spliceosomal RNA
GCUCCCUUUAGCAAAACAUGUACUAAAAUUGGAAAGCUAAAGAGAUUAGGAUGGCCCCUGCGCAAGAAUGAAAUGCAAAUUCAUGAAUCAGUCUAUAUUUUU